AUUUACUGAAAGUUUGUUUACUUUGAAGCAGUGGGAAAUUUUAAGUUCAUAAGUUCAAAUAAUAUAGCAAUGUUGCUGUGAGAUAAAAAUAAAUAUAACCUCCAUAUAAUUUAAGGUUUUUAAUAAGAGUUUGAUGGUUAAUAGUAUCAAAAGCUUUUGAUAAAUCAAUUAAAAUUCCUAAUGUAUAUUCAGAUUUAUUAAACGACUCGUUAUUACUACGUGUAAACUGAAGUUUUGCAUGUUCGGUGGAGUUAUUUUUUUUUUGAAAACAUAUUGAUUAUUAAAGAAAAUAUUGUUUACAUAGAGAUGAAUGUUGAUUUCAUAAUGACUCGUAAAUAUAACGAAUAUAAUUUUGGAAAUGGUAUAUUCGAUACUUUUUUUAACACCAUUCUUUUGAAAUAGUGUAUGGAAGCAAUUUAUAAAGGAAUGUCGAAUCGUUAAACUUUAAAAAGGAUUGAUAUACCAAGAAGUAGUAUUCAUAAUAAAAUGAAUUCAAAGCAUAACUAGUGCAUUGGUGCACCAACCAUAUUCAUUCAUGAUAAGGAGCAUUUAAUUUCUUCUAGAAUCACGGUUAUGUGUAAUUUUCAAUAGGAUAUUAUUAAUGGACAACCACGAAAGAUUGAACUCUAAUCAAUACAAAUUGAGAGAAAGUUUUUAUUUAGAUAUUGAAUACAAUCGUUGAUAAUGUCUGAAUAGUGGAUACUUAUUUGCUUUAACUACUUAUUUGAAGUUCGUUAGUCAGCACAGCAAUGUGCUUAUUUGUGAAAAAACUGGUAAAGUUAUAAGCAGUUCAAACAAGUUAUUUGCAAUUCAAACAAGUUAUUUGCAUUAUUUAGAUGUCCCAAGAAGUCCUUACGGUCUUGUCACAGAGCACCGCGGGAGUGCGUUCGACCAGGAAAUUCACGCCUCCUUCUCUACCGUGACGCAAAAUAUGUUCAAAGCUCGUUUUGAACCUGGAUCUCCUGCUUAUAAAGCACGCGCUCUAACCACUGCGCAAAGGCAGCAUUUACUUAUAUAUCUAUGGCUUAAUGUUUAUAAAAUGUAAAAUUUAUAUAAAAAAGUUAUUUUGAACAAUAAAUAUGUAUGCUCUA